ACUGAAUAGAUACCCGGGUAGUCCACGCCCUAAACGAUGAUUACUCGACAUACGCGAUACACAGUGUGUGUCUGAGCGAAAGCAUUAAGUAAUCCACCUGGGAAGUACGUCCGCAAGGAUGAAACUCAAAGGAAUUGACGGGGGUCCGCACAAGCGGUGGAGUAUGUGGUUUAAUUCGAUGAUACGCGAGGAACCUUACCUGGGCUAGAAUGCUAUCUGACUGUACCUGAAAGGGUAUUUUGUAGCAAUACACAGAUAGUAAGGUGCUGCAUGGCUGUCGUCAGCUCGUGCCGUGAGGUGUUGGGUUAAGUCCCGCAACGAGCGCAACCCCCGAUCUUCAGUUGCCAGCACGUAAUGGUGGGAACUCUGAAGAAACUGCCGUCGUAAGACGCGAGGAAGGAGGGGAUGAUGUCAAGUCAUCAUGGCCUUUAUGCCCAGGGCUACACACGUACUACAAUGGGGAGGACAAAGGGCAGCGACCUGGUAACAGGAAGC
rnacentral:rRNA from 1 species